CAUGCAAGUCGAACGGCAGCACGGGCUUCGGCCUGGUGGCGAGUGGCGAACGGGUGAGUAAUAUAUCGGAACGUACCCAAGAGUGGGGGAUAACGUAGCGAAAGUUACGCUAAUACCGCAUACGAUCUCUGGAUGAAAGCAGGGGACCGCAAGGCCUUGUGCUCCUGGAGCGGCCGAUAUCUGAUUAGCUAGUUGGUGAGGUAAAGGCUCACCAAGGCGACGAUCAGUAGCUGGUCUGAGAGGACGACCAGCCACACUGGAACUGAGACACGGUCCAGACUCCUACGGGAGGCAGCAGUGGGGAAUUUUGGACAAUGGGCGCAAGCCUGAUCCAGCAAUGCCGCGUGAGUGAAGAAGGCCUUCGGGUUGUAAAGCUCUUUUGUCAGGGAAGAAACGGCAGUGGCUAAUAUCUCUUGCUAAUGACGGUACCUGAAGAAUAAGCACCGGCUAACUACGUGCCAGCAGCCGCGGUAAUACGUAGGGUGCAAGCGUUAAUCGGAAUUACUGGGCGUAAAGCGUGCGCAGGCGGUUUUGUAAGUCUGUCGUGAAAGCCCCGGGCUCAACCUGGGAAUUGCGAUGGAGACUGCAAGGCUUGAAUCUGGCAGAGGGGGGUAGAAUUCCACGUGUAGCAGUGAAAUGCGUAGAGAUGUGGAGGAACACCGAUGGCGAAGGCAGCCCCCUGGGUCAAGAUUGACGCUCAUGCACGAAAGCGUGGGGAGCAAACAGGAUUAGAUACCCUGGUAGUCCACGCCCUAAACGAUGUCUACUAG
rnacentral:rRNA from 1 species